rnacentral:rRNA from 1 species
UACGAAGGGGGCGAGCGUUGUUCGGAGUUACUGGGCGUAAAGGGCGCGUAGGCGGCGAUCCAAGUUAGGCGUGAAAGCCCCGGGCUUAACCUGGGAAUUGCGCUUAAGACUGGACUGCUUGAGUGCGGGAGAGGUGAGUGGAAUUCCCAGUGUAGAGGUGAAAUUCGUAGAUAUUCGCAAGAACACCGGUGGCGAAGGCGGCAUCCUGGACCAACACUGACACUGAGGAGCGAAAGCCAGGGGAGCAAACGGG